rnacentral:lncRNA from 1 species
AGAACCUUGAGAAAAGGCAAAUUCCGGCUUCAAGAAAUACAAUGCAAUUCAAAAGACUGCAACUUCAUACAUAAAAAAGUCCCUCAGAAAGCCAAAUGCUCGGACUGGGUAACAGCACCAGCCACAGGCACCUGCUUUCUUCCAAGAAGGAGCUCUCACCUGUCACUCAAAAGCACCUGCACUGAGAAGUUGGGAGAGCCAGAGAAGACUCCUGCCCUUUCUGAAUUUUACCAAUUAUCUAUUCAAA